UAGCUUAGUCCUAAGUCUAAAUUCUCAAACUUUGAAUAAAUUUAUAGAAAAAACUAUUAAUAUUUACAAUACCAAAUAAAUGUACUAUCAAAAUAUAUUUUAUGGUGGAUUCAAUAAAAAUAAUUUGGUGUUGUACAUGUUGAUACUUCUUUCUACAGAUUUGGUCAAGUUAGAAAAGUUUGAUUUAGGACAAAACUAA
rnacentral:pre_miRNA from 1 species